rnacentral:rRNA from 1 species
GACGAACGCUGGCGGCGUGCUUAACACAUGCAAGUCGAACGGUGAACGAGGGAGCUUGCUCCCUCCGGAUCAGUGGCGAACGGGUGAGUAACACGUGAGCAAUCUGCCCCGAACUCUGGGAUAAGCGUUGGAAACGACGUCUAAUACCGGAUACGACGCGGGACGGCAUCCUCUACGCGUGAAAAGGACUUCGGUUCGGGAUGGGCACGCGGCCUAUCAGCUUGUUGGUGAGGUAACGGCUCACCAAGGCGACGACGGAUAGCCGGCCUGAGAGGGUGACCGGCCACACUGGGACUAAGACACGGCCCAGAAUCCAACGGGAGGCAGCAGUGGGGAAUCUUGCGCAAUGGGGGCAAGCCAGAGGCAGCAGCGCUGCGUGAGGGACGACCGCUUACGGGGUGUAAACCUCUGUGAGCAGGGAAGAAGCGAAAGUGACGGUACCUGCAGAAAAAGCACCGGCUAACUACGUG